AUAUUUUUUUCAAGCCAGCAUCUCACAUAAUGUAGAGGAUCUUCCAAGAUAAUCAGUUGCUCAAUUGCACCUCCAUCUGCCUUAGCUAUGCAAUCAACAACUUUAUUAGCAUUCUGCUGAAUAUGUCGAAAUUUGACUUCCUAAUUUUUGGAACACCAAUCGUGAAUCUGUCUUACUUCAACAACACUACUUAUUGUAGCCAACCCGUUACGAAUAGUUUCAACCAACAUUGUGUUGUCACUUUUCAUCUCAACACAUCUGAAUCGUCUAGUCCAAGCCAAUUUCAAUCUUUCAAGAAUAGCUCUAGCUUCAAUGUGGAAGAUAUCAUUCAUACCUUGUUGUAGGCCAAUUUUGGCCCGUUUACAAAAUACCCGGGCCCAUUAAACCAUUUAACCCAUCCUCAAACCCAAAAAAUAAAAUUAACCUAGCCCAACAUCCAAGCCCAAUCCCGAAACCCUAGACCCCCACUUGCCUCUCCCCACUCUCCCAAACUGUCUGCCACCAGCACCAUCCCUACUUUCCUAUGCUGUCUUCCACUACCACCACCACUCCCCACACAUGUCACAUGCCUCCACGCAC
rnacentral:lncRNA from 1 species